CCCUCCGCGGCAACCCUGGGAACUGGGGCUAAUACCUGAUAGGUGCGGAGGCCUGGAAUGGUUCUGCACUGAAAGGGCUUCGAGAACAUGCUCUUGGAGUUGCCCAAGGAUGAGACUGCGGCCGAUCAGGUUGUUGGUGGGGUAACGGCCCACCAAGCCUAUAACCGGUACGGGCUCUGAGAGGAGGGGCCCGGAGAUGGGAACUGAGACAAGGUCCCAGGUCCUACGGGGCGCAGCAGGUGCGAAAACUCCACAAUGCGUGAAUGCGUGAUGGGGUUAACCCGAGUGCCGUCCGAUGAGGAUGGCUUUUCCUCAGUUUAAGGAGCUGGGGGAAUAAAGGGGGGGCAAGUCUGGUGUCAGCCGCCGCGGUAAUACCAGCCCCCUGAGUGGUAGGGACGAUUAUUUGGCCUAAAGCGUCCGUAGCCGGCUUGGCAAGUCUUUCGUUAAAUCCGACGAUUUAAUCGCCGGGCCGCGGAAGAUACUACUAGGCUUGAGGACGGGAGAGGUUGACGGUAGUCCCAGGGUAGGGGUGAAAUCCUAUAAUCCUGGGAGGACCACCAGUGGCGAAGGCGGUCGACUAGAACGUGCCUGACGGUGAUGGACGAAAGCUGGGGGAGCGAACCGGAUUAGACACCCGGGUAGUCCCAGCUGUAAACGAUGCGGGCUAGGUGUUGGGGUAGCUACGAGCUACUCCAGUGCCGCAGGGAAGCCGUUAAGCGCGCCGCCUGGGGAGUACGGCCGCAAGGCUGAAACUUAAAGGAAUUGGCGGGGGAGCAC
rnacentral:rRNA from 1 species